rnacentral:rRNA from 1 species
UACGUAGGGGGCUAGCGUUGUCCGGAAUCAUUGGGCGUAAAGCGCGCGUAGGCGGCCCGGUAAGUCCGCUGUGAAAGUCCAGGGCUCAACCCUGGAAAGCCGGUGGAUACUGCCGGGCUAGAGUCCGGGAGAGGCGAGUGGAAUUCCUGGUGUAGCGGUGGAAUGCGCAGAUAUCAGGAGGAACACCUAAGGCGAAGGCAGCUCGCUGGGACGGUACUGACGCUGAGACGCGAAAGCGUGGGGAGCGAACAGG